rnacentral:lncRNA from 1 species
CCUGAUGAGGAGCAAGAAUGCCCCCUCUCACCCAGCCUUGUCAGGGCCAAGUGAAAGAAGCCCGGGCAGGCCUGGGGAAGCUGCCCAAGGAGCCUCAGUAGUCAAUGCUGGCAUCGUUUCUCCCUCAGCCCCGUCUCUGUCACUUUGAAGCUUUCUACUGGUUUCCUUUGAGUCCCCUCAGCUCCCCAGUCAGAUCAAGGAAGAGCUGGUUGUUGCUUUCACAGACUUCAGGGGCAAGCAGAUCUGAGUACCUCGGGGGUCAAACAGACCUGCCCCAACCACAGCGUUGAAGAGGAGAUCCAUUUCCUAAAAAUGGGGGGAGACAGCUAUUGGUGGGAUGCUCUAUUCACAUCUGUCUCCACUGCAUGUCUACAGAACGGCUCCCUGUAGUCUGGGAGUAGCAUUCCCUGGCUUCUCUGAGCUUCCUGCGGUCCACGAAAGGCUGUUUCCCUUGACAGAAGCCUUUCCUCUUCUUCCAUAUCUGGUUGACUGCAUGUCCUUUGGAGCCAGCCCUCUGGACUGAGGACUUGAAUCUCUGAUUAAUCCGCCCAGUACUCAGCUCCAUGGCCUCAGUGGUGUCCACGAGACUCUUGACACGGGACCUAUUCACAAGGGAAGGCACCUCCCCACAGAUGCACCUGAAAGCCGUGGACCCUGUGAUUCUCAGGAAUUCGGCUGACUGAUGGAGCAAUCCUUCCCACGCGGGUGAAGGUGGAGGACUCCCCUUGACCCAGACACACGGGUAUUCCGUGAGUUUCUUGACGGUGCCAGUUCCUCUGAAGUAUGGAUUUUACUCCUUGGUGUUGUCUGAUUAGAUAAACUCUCCAAGAUAAAGAUCCGGAUAUAUUGGCAAGGGACCUGGCUUUUAGAAAACACAUAUUCCUCAGAUUGAAAGUUGUAGGCCCUCUUUUCUCUCCAGGCUUCUCUGCUGCAGGCCUGAUGUGCAUGGCAGACUCACACCUCUGACGAUCUCAGCCAGACGAGACGAGGGCCAUUAAGGUGGGAAUUCAAUUUCUGGACUUCAGUUAUACCAUGAAAUGUUAUGUGGCUAUUUAAAAAGCAUGCUUUUGGGGUUAUUUUAAGACAUGGGAAGAUGUUCUUAGUACACUAUAAAGUUGAAGAAAAG